rnacentral:tRNA from 1 species
AAUAAAAUGCGUGAAAUAGGAUUUCUUUGUUAGAGUAUAUCAUGUAUAUAAGAUACUUUUAUA